AGCGAACGCUGGCGGCAGGUUUAACACAUGCAAGUCGAGCGGGCACUUUCGGGUGUCAGCGGCGGACGGGUGAGUAACGCGUGGGAACGUGCCCUCUGGUUCGGAAUAACUCAGGGAAACUUGAGCUAAUACCGGAUACGCCCUUUUGGGGAAAGGCUUGCUGCCGGAGGAUCGGCCCGCGUCUGAUUAGCUAGUUGGUGAGGUAACGGCUCACCAAGGCGACGAUCAGUAGCUGGUCUGAGAGGAUGAUCAGCCACACUGGGACUGAGACACGGCCCAGACUCCUACGGGAGGCAGCAGUGGGGAAUAUUGGACAAUGGGCGCAAGCCUGAUCCAGCCAUGCCGCGUGAGUGAUGAAGGCCUUAGGGUUGUAAAGCUCUUUUAUCCGGGACGAUAAUGACGGUACCGGAGGAAUAAGCCCCGGCUAACUUCGUG
rnacentral:rRNA from 1 species